GAACCGGCAGUGAGUGGGGCCCUAGAAUUCCCAAGAGUAUAUGGCCUUUGUGUUCAGUUACCAGGGUGGGUAGGGAAGGACCAUCAGGUGGGGGCGGGGCUAGGCGGGGCUAGGCGUGGCCGACCUCACACUCUCCUUGGGCAGGACCUGCUGCAGCUGCUCUCGGGGUUGGAGGGGAGGUUCCUAGGUCAAUGGAGUUGUGUACCUAGGAGGAUUAUGGCUGCCUCUGCUGAGUCAUGCAGAUUGUCAGGAAGUGUGAGAAAGCCAGCAGUCACCGGCCUCACCCAGCCACCCUGCCGCCAUUAACAGCACUAGGCAGGCAGUGCGCAGAGCUGAGAACUUGCCCCAGGUUACCCGCCUCCCAGCUGCUAAACAAAAGGGAGGCUUUUCAGCUGGUUCAAAUUGUUACAAAGUUCAGCUAGAGAUUUGCUUUUACCUGCGGCGUUUUCCCCAUACCACUGGCUGCCCUCCCGAAGAAUUCCUGUGAUGCCAGGCAGGAAUGGCCUGGUUGGAGACCAGCUAGCUCCCAGGGCCUUUCCCGCUGCUUCCUCUACCCCUGUAUUUCGCUGGGCUCUCUAAAUGGAUUCAGCUCCAGCCUUCAACAUUUUAAAACAAGAAACUAGGAAAGGAGUGAAGGAAUCUGCCUCACAGAUUGUAAGGACUUGAAAACCCACCGAUAGACCAAGAGGAGGAAAACCUUGAGACCCUGAGACUUUCAGAAACUUAUUCACAGUUACCAAAGCUGGCACACGGAUGGAGCUGAAGGCCAUUAUCCUUAGCAAACCAACACAGGAACAGAGAACCAAAUACCGCAUGUUCUCACUUAUACGUGGCAGCUAAAUGAUGAGAACACAUGAACACAUAGAGGAAAACAACACACACUGGGACCUUUUGGAGGAUGGAGGAUGUGAGAAGGGAGAGGAUCAGGAAAAAUAACUCCGACGGGUACUAGGCUUACUAUCUGGGUAAUGAAAUAAUCUGUAUAACAAGUUUACAUAUGUAACCAACCUGCACUUGUGCCCCAGAAAGAAAAUGUUUGUGGCAGGGAGUGGGACAUCCGGCUUCAGAGCAGGAACUUUCAUUGCACCAGUGAUGAAAAAGAGAAUGAAAUGUGGGUGACGUUGAGAAAGGCAAGAAGAUUUUUGUUCAGAAGUGUGCCCAGUGCCUAAAAGGGAGGCAAGCACAAGACUGGGCCUAACCUCCAUGGUCUCUUUGGGCUGAAGACUGGUCAGGCCAUUGGAUUCUCUUACAAAGAUGCCAGUAAGAACAAAGAGAUCACCUGGGGAGAGGAUACAGUGAUGGAGCAUUUGCAGAAUCCCAAGAACUACAUCCCUGGAACAAAAAUGAUCUUUGCUGGCAUUCAGAAGAAGGCAGAAAGGGCAGACUUGAUAGCUUAUCUCAAAAAAAGCUACUCAUGAGUAAUAAUUGGCCACUGCCUUAUUUAUUACAAAACAGAAAUGUCUCAUGACUUUUCUAUGUGUACCAUACUUUAAUAGAUCUCAUACACCAGAAUUCAGAUCAUGAAUGACUGACAGAAUAUUUUACUGGGCAAUCCUGAUUUAAAACUAAGACUGGCUUGUGGUUAAAUGAAUGUGUUCAGUUUUUGAAUUUUAAUAGUAAUUCCAAUUCAGUAAAUGCUAUCACUGUUUACCCCUUCUAAAGAUAUGAUUAGACUUCACUGGUAAUGUUCAACUUUUCACAAAGAUGGUGACUGCCAUCUUAAAACUUACUGGAUAUUGGUUUAUAUUUAGAUUUCUAUAACUGGUUAUGUGAAUAUAUUUAAAUACUCGGGAAAUUCCUUCACUGUCUCAGAACCAAGCAAGAUUCAUCUGUGUUUUGUGUUCAUUUGCCUCUUAAAGGCAAGGGUUGAAGAUAAAUAAGGUAGCAACGUCUACUUUAUAUUUUUGGCCUUAACUAUGCCAAUCUAAUUAGAAUUCUCUGCAUUUAAACUGGUUCUUUUUACUUACUGAAGGGCAUUUUAGUGUGGUUUAUGUGUAAUAUCAAAGAUUAUUUAACAUUUCUCACAUUUUAUAGAUGAUCUAUAAGGUCACAUGCUUUUAAUAUAGUAGCAAGUUAAACUUCACUCUUGAAUUCUUUACAAUCUAAGUCAAACUAAGUUAUAAUUUAAGAUUGUCUUUAAACAGCCAUUCAGAUACAUAAAACUGUGGAACUGCUCUGUAUUUGUGAUUGUGGAUAGUGCUUUUGCCAACUUAAAAGAAUUAAAGUAGAGGAGAUAUACAUAAAUUUUAAAAUUAUGUGUGAUCAUAAGACUUAAGAUAAUUAAAAAGAAAUUCACAGAUCAUUACAAAAACAUGUUCAUGGCAAAGAAAAGACAUAUUCUAAGUAGAUUAAUAAUUACAGAUGUGUCAAAUAUACAGUUCUAGGAUUUAUGAUGUAGUCAUUAAGUUCAUCAAAUACUAUAAUGAAAUAUGUAAUUUAAUUUAAAUAAUAUUUAGAAAUUAUAUCCAUAUAUUCAACAAGUAAUUAUUAAGUGUAUUUAUGUGCCAGAUACCAUUCUAGGUGCCUGGGAUGCAUCAGUGAACAGAAUACAUCUAGUGCUGCAUGAGGGAGCUUCUUUUUUAGUGAAGGAGGACAUUAGACACAGAUGUAUAAAUGAGUCAUUGAACAAGAUAAUUGCAGGCAGAGAUGGAUUCUAUGAAAGAAAUAAAUCAGGGUGAUGAGAGGGAAAGUGACAGAGAGACAGCUUUAGGUUGGAGGCUAAAGUGAGGCCUUUGAAGAAAUGAUAAUUCAUGUGUGACUUGAAUGACAAGAUAAAAUGUAGAGAGUUAGAGGCUGAGGAUUACAGGCCAAGGAAAUAGCCCUGUGCAUAUGUUGUGAGACAUAGCUCCAAGACAUAGACAUGCAUAGUUUAAUUCAACUUGACUCUUCCAGAAAUGAAUUGAAGGUCGCUAGGCCUGGAGUGUCAGGAAGCAGAGGAGAAGUUGUGAGAGAAGAGUUUGAAGUGAGAUGCCUGUGUCAUUUAAUGAAGCAAAUCACAUGAAAAAUAUCACUGGCAUUUUUUAUUAUACGACUUAUUUAAAAAUAGCAAUAAAAUUUACUUCCUACUUUAUCCUAAGGUUCUGAAGACCUUUCAAUGGUGUUCUUGGAGGAGAGUUUACAAUUUUGGUGUGUAUCAUGAUUGUAAAGAUACCCUGAUAUCUUUAUAAAAUAGAAGUAAAUUUAGAAAUUAAAAAAAACAAAACUUUCCUGUUCUCUCGGUCAAUCACUGACAGUAUGUAAAAUCAUUGCCUAGUUGAUAAAUUCAUUCAAGUCUUUCAUUUUAGUUCAAGGAGACUUUAGUUUCCUCCUUUUGGAUUAUAAAAUGGCAGUUACCUGGAUCCCUUUUGUAUAUACAAUUCAUGACUUACACAUACCAGUUUUGUACAUAUGUUGUAAAUAGCUACUAUUGUAAAAGAAAAAAUAAUUUUCACAGGAAUAUUUUCUGUGUAUAACAGAAAUGGCUUACUUUGAUGUCUUUGUUGAAAAUAUGUCCAUAACUAAUGUAAGAAUAUUCUAAAACUUUAUUUAAAAAUUUUAAAAGAACAUUUUUAUGGAUAAGCAAUCUCAAUAUUAUAAAAAUGACUUCUCUUUCCCAUGUAAAUGUAAAACUUCCCAUCAAAUUCUGAUAGAACUUAAUAUUAAUGGAUCUUGAUACAACAUAUAAAAAUCAUGUGAAAUACAAGGGACCAAAAAAUUGCAAAAAUAUUUUUGAAAAUGAAUAAAUAAAUUAGUGUUACUUAAGCCACAGUAUAUUAAGUCUUACAGCACCUGAAAGUCGUAUUGUGCAGAGACAGAUAAAUGGAAAGCUAAGCAAAAUAAUGAUUCCAGAAAUCAAUCAAUAAACAAACACAUAUACACAUAUAUUUGAUAUAUGACUAUUGCCAUUGUAGACUAACAGGAAAAAGAGAAGCAAUUCAGAAAAUAAUUAAAAAUUAGUUAUACAUAUGAAGAAACAUGAACUUAGAUUAAUAAUUCCUUCCUUAUAUUACAUACAAAAAUAAAUGCUAUAUUUAUUAGUCUACUAUGUAAACCAACAUUAGAAAGUCUUUAAAGAAAAUAUAAUAGUAUGUCUUUACAACACAAGAUAUGAAGAGCAUUCUAAAUAAAAACUCCAAAAGUGAAUCAUAAGCUGGAAUGCAAUGGCGUGAUUAUAGCUCAAUGCAUCUUCAUCUCCCUGGGCUCAAGCAAUCUUCCAAGCUCAGCCUCCCAAGUAGCUGGAACUACAGGUAUAGAGACGGAGUUUGGCUGUGUUGCCCAGGCUGGAGUGUAGUGGUGUGAGCUCUGCUUACUGUAAACUCUGCGCCUAACCCCAGGUUCAAGCAAUUCUCUUGCCUUAGCCUCUCAAGUAGCUGGGAUUACAGGUAUGUGCCACCAUGCCCAGCUAAUUUUUGUAUUUUAAGUGUUAUACCAUAUAAUUUAAAAAUUCAUUUAACAUAACUUGUUCAUCAUCUCUAUUUUUGCCUAGUUCAACAUGGCUGCCAUAAACUGGAUAUUGAUAUCUAUGAGGUUCUCCUCUGUCCCAGGACAGGUCCAGAAAUGUCAUCAAGGAGCGAAGACGCCAGUGUGGCUGAGCUGUUAACCCAAGCUCAAGAGAAAGUUUCCUUUACUCUUCUCUCUCCUUUGCCCAAGUGGAAGGGGUCUCUUCCCAUAGGCACCGCAGCUGGCUAUGUGCUGGUUCACACUUGAAGUCAGCAUGGUUUUGAGUGUCACCCAAGGCCCACAGUGAAUACUGCCCAGCUACCAUUGCUGCUUGUUGAGGGUCCAAGGGCACUUUAGUUAGCUCAUGAUGAAUUCUGCAAAAAUUGGGUCCUUUCCUUGAAGGCAGUGAGUUCCAUUCUGGCCCAGGAUGUAUUUCAAAAUGUCCUCCAGGAUUUAUUUUUAGAGCAGUUUUAGGUUUACAGCAAAAGUGAGCAGAAGGUUCAGGGAUUUGCAGUAUAGCCCCCGCCUGUCCCACACGUGCAUGCACGGCCUCUCCCACCACCUACAUCCAGUGCCACAGUGGUACAUUUAUUACAUUGACAAUACAUCAUCAUCACCAAAUACCAUAGUUUACAUUAGGCUUCACUCUUGACGUUGUACAUUCUAUGUGUUUGGAAUGACAUGUAUCCACCAUCAUAGUAUCAUACAGAAUAGUUCCACUGUCCUAAAAAUCUCUGUAAUCCACCAAGUCAGCCUUCCCUUUCCAUUAACACUAGGCAACCAUUGAUCUGUAUAUGGUCUCCAUAGUUUUGCCUUUUUCAGAAUGACCCUAUAGUUGAAAUCAUAUAUUAUGUAGCUUUUUCAGGUUGGCUUUUUUCACUUAAUAAUAUAUAUUUAAGGAUUGUUUGUCUUUUCAUGGAUUGAUAGGGCAUUUCUAUUUAAUGCUGAAAAAAUAUUCUGUAGUUUAAAGGUACGACAAUUUAUUUUACUAUUCACUUACUGAAGGACGUCUUGGCUGCUUCCAAGUUUUGACAACCAUGAAUAAAGCUGCUAUAAACAUCAAUGUACAGGUUUUUGUGUGAACAUAAGUUUUGAACUCAUUUAGGUAAAUUCCAAGAGGUACAAUUCAUGGGCCAUAUGCUAAGAGUAUCUUCAGCUUUCGAAGAAACUGCCGAACUGUCUUCCGAAGUGGCUACACAAUUUGCAUUUCCACCAACAUUGUGUAAUAGUUCUUGUUCCACAUCCUUGCCAGCAUUUGGUGUUUCCAGUGUUUUGCAUUUUGGUGAUCCUAACAGGUACAUUGUAGAGGUACCUCAUUGUUUUAAUUUGCAUUUCCCUAAUGACACAUGAUGUGAGAUUUUCUUAUGCUUAUUUGCCAAAUGUAUAUCUUCUUUGGUGAGAUAUAUGUUUGGGGAAAGGAGAAUGGUUUGAAAAUGGUAAUGAGGAGAAAGAAUGACACUGACACCAGCUCCAGGUCCCGUGGAAUGAAAUCUAUGGUAAGUAGUGUUAACUAGGGUCCUUAGAAGAGGUUCAGACUUACAUUC
rnacentral:lncRNA from 1 species